GCCAAACUUACAAUAAUUUAGUUUUUAGUGUAUUUACACUCACGGGAACCCUGCGUCUAAUUUUUCCCGCGUUUUUGUUCUUCUAACUCGCGGCCGACACCAUGAAUAUUGUUGAUAAAGUUUUUGCAUUAUUUUCGUCGUGGCUCAAACCAAGAAAGAACCGACACAUCUUAAAACGUUUAUAAUAAAAAGACGUACAAACGAUGGACGGAAGGACAAACGAUGUGUUUGGAAAAAGAAGAAAAGUUCUUCUUUAUGGAAUGCUUUACUUAGAGAAAAACAUAGCUGAGGAAACAAUCAUAACAAAACUAGUAUAGAUUCACUGGCUAAGAAAACCGGUACACAGCGAAGAAUAGCUGUCAAUACGAAAAAGGAGUAUAUUCAAGUAAGACUGGUGUAAUACUUAGAAUGUUUGGUAAAACGUCUCAAGCCAGCAGCUUACCUUAAAUGAAGAGCAUCCACGUCCAUGCAACAAAAGCAAAACAAGGAAGAGUAUUGAUGGAUGGCUAGCCAUGGUAGACCGUCCCGACUAAAUGAGUCAAAAGCCUUCAAGGUAUCGAUGGCUGGCUAGUCAUGGUAGACUGGAUAAGUCAAAGGAAAUUAGGAAAUUGAACCUUGUGAUGUUGCUUUGGGAGCUUAUGUGUUAGAUCUAAUGAUGCAGCCAUUGUAUUCAUUCUCUUAUCAAAAUAUUUUUUACCUUUUUUAGAACGUUCUUUACUGAAGAUCAUUAUGGUCUCAAGAAAAUAAAAGAAAAUGAAAAAUAAAAGAAUAUCUUCCUCACUUUCUGCACAUUUUUGUAUCAAAAUUUACUAAAAUAAUGAGAUUUAAAACCAACACUGAGAAAAAUAUAAACUUUUUUUACUGUUUCGUAUCAAAACGAUUAGCUUGGUGUAUAAUAGAACGUCAUAAUUAGUUCAGUUGGUUACAAAAUUAAACGCUAAUGUACGCACGAUGGACAACUGCAUAGCAUUAUGCGUAGUUUUAUUAUAAACAUUUUUUCGUCGCAUAUUGUAAAGAAUGGCUGCUUGAAACCAAAGUGUUGGGGUCAAUCCAUAACUUCUUUUAAAGUAAUAAAAAUUACAAAUGCCUAAAACCCAAAAGUAAUAACUUAUUUAUAAUUUUCGAAUGGGAAACCUGUAACAAAUAUGAGCUUUUGAAUGAAUGAGAAAGAGAUA